CGGUGUUCCUGUUGGACCUGUCAGUGAUCAGUUUGGAGGGUUGAUUUUUAACUUUAUCUAUGUGAAGGAAAAUUCUUUUCCAAAGCUACUUUAAGGUCCUGUGUAACCAGACUCCGCGGGGAUGAAUAGCGUCUAUAUUUGAGCCCCAUAGCCAGAUUGGUUGAUCAUAAAAAUAAUUUCGUGGUUUAUUCACAGUUGACUUUGUUUUGGAGAUGAUGUUGAUUGUGGUUUGAAUGCGGCUUAUGCGUCCUAAGUUAAUAGUUGAGAAGAGUUUAGAUCUGAGUGCGGCAUCUCAGAGCUCGAGGACUCAUAAGGAUUGGAAGAUGGUUGGAGAAACAACACAUUAUCAACUAACCAAGCUUUGGUAUAAAAGCUCUAUUUAUUUUGUUCAAUGGCAUGUAUAGUUUUUUUUAGUAUUUUGUUAUAUGUGUCAUUUGAUUUGCCAAGUAAAGGCAUGUAAGAAUAUGUUUAUCUCUUUGUAUAUGGCCAUGAAAAAUUGGCUUAAUUUAAGUAGGCUAUGACCUACGAUUUUAUGCAUGGUUUUAAUUAUAAA